rnacentral:rRNA from 1 species
AUGUUUUGUCAUCACGACAAGACGAUAAAACACUUGCUUUUUCAAUGCAAGUUGGCUCAUUCUAUAUGGUCAGUCAUCCAAAUAGCUUCUGGCUUGUAUCCUCCAUGUAGUGUUGUCAAUAUAUUCGGCAAUUGGUUACAUGGGGUAGAAUACAGGUUUAGAGCUCUUCUCAGGGUGGGAGCGCUUGCCGUUAUUUGGUCACUUUCGCCAUGUAGAAAUGAUAAGAUUUUUAACGAUAAAAAUACUUCUCUUAUGCAGGUUAUUUAUAGAUGUACCGGUACGCUCCGUUUAUGGUCGUCUCUACAGCGUAUGGAGUACCGACACAUGUUUACGGAGGUGUGUGCACGCUUGAAGGCCACUGCGAAAGAUACUUUUACCUAA